rnacentral:tRNA from 1 species
GUUUCAGGGGGCUCAGUUGGUUAGAGCGCUGCAUCGGAAUUGCAGGGCCGCAGCUUCGAUUCCUGCCAGAGACC